UAGGGAAUCUUCGGCAAUGGACGAAAGUCUGACCGAGCAACGCCGCGUGAGUGAAGAAGGUUUUCGGAUCGUAAAACUCUGUUGUUAGAGAAGAACAAGGACGUUAGUAACUGAACGUCCCCUGACGGUAUCUAACCAGAAAGCCACGGCUAACUACGUGCCAGCAGCCGCGGUAAGACGUAGGUGGCAAGCGUUGUCCGGAUUUAUUGGGCGUAAAGCGAGCGCAGGCGGUUUCUUAAGUCGGGUGUGAAAGCCCCCGGCUCAACCGGGGAGGGUCAUUGGAAGCUGGGAGACUUGAGUGCAGAAGAGGAGAGUGGAAUUCCAUGUGUAGCGGUGACAUGCGUAGAUAUAUGGAGGAACAUCAGUGGCGAAGGCGGCUCUCUGGUCUGUAACUGACGCUGAGGCUCGAAAGCGUGGGGAGCAAACAGG
rnacentral:rRNA from 1 species